UACGGAAGGCAGCAGUGGGGAAUAUUGCACAAUGGGCGCAAGCCUGAUGCAGCCAUGCCGCGUGUAUGAAGAAGGCCUUCGGGUUGUAAAGUACUUUCAGUCGUGAGGAAGGUGUUAAGGUUAAUAACCUUAGCAAUUGACGUUAGCGACAGAAGAAGCACCGGCUAACUCCGUGCCAGCAGCCGCGGUAAUACGGAGGGUGCGAGCGUUAAUCGGAAUUACUGGGCGUAAAGGGCACGCAGGCGGUUAAUUAAGUUGGAUGUGAAUCCCCGGGCUUAACCUGGGAAUGGCAUUCAAGACUGGUUAGCUAGAGUCUUGUAGAGGGGGUAGAAUUCCAUGUGUAGCGGUGAAAUGCGUAGAGAUGUGGAGGAAUACCGGGUGGCGAAGGCGGCCCCUGGGACAAGACUGACGCUCAUGUGCGAAAGCGUGGGGAGCAAACAGGGAUUAGAUACC
rnacentral:rRNA from 1 species